rnacentral:snRNA from 1 species
UCUUGGGAUACAAGGCUUUGUUAACAAUACAGAGAAGAUUAGCAUGGCCUCUGCACAAGGAUGAUGCACAAAUUCGUGAAGCGUUCCGUAUUUUA